rnacentral:rRNA from 1 species
UACGUAGGGGGCAAGCGUUGUCCGGAUUUAUUGGGCGUAAAGAGCGUGUAGGCGGUUAGGUAGGUCCGUUGUGAAAACUCGAGGCUCAACCUCGAGACGCCGAUGGAAACCAUCUAACUAGAGUCCGGAAGAGGAGAGUGGAAUUCCUGGUGUAGCGGUGAAAUGCGCAGAUAUCAGGAAGAACACCCGUGGCUAAGGCGGCUCUCUAGUACGUGACUGACGCUGAGACGCGAAAGCGUGGGGAGCGAACAGG